GCCUGGGUGGCUCAGUCGGUUAAGCGGCCGACUUCGGCUCGGGUCAUGAUCUCGCGGUCCGUGAGUUCAAGCCCCACGUCAGGCU
rnacentral:tRNA from 1 species